rfam:Triticum aestivum genome assembly, contig: Triticum_aestivum_CS42_TGACv1_scaffold_374893_5AL
AGUGGCAAAUGAUGUGAAAUAUUAUGUUGGACACUUAAUCUAUAAUAUGCUUACAAAUCUUCGCUUAUUUAUCUCAUGCUACC